rnacentral:rRNA from 1 species
AUUGAACGCUGGCGGCAGGCUUAACACAUGCAAGUCGAGCGGGGUGAUGGUGCUUGCACUAUCACUUAGCGGCGGACGGGUGAGUAAUGCUUAGGAAUCUGCCUAUUAGUGGGGGACAACAUCUCGAAAGGGAUGCUAACACCGCAUACGUCCUACGGGAGAAAGCAGGGGAUCACUUGUGACGUUGCGCUAAUAGAUGAGCCUAAGUGGGAUUAGCUAGUUGGUGGGGUAAAGGCCUACCAAGGCGACGAUCUGUAGCGGGUCGGAGAGGAUGAGCCGCCACACUGGGACUGAGACACGGCCCAGACUCCUACGGGAGGCAGCAGUGGGGAAUAUUGGACAAUGGGGGGAACCCUGAUCCAGCCAUGCCGCGUGUGUGAAGAAGGCCUUAUGGUUGUAAAGCACUUUAAGCGAGGAGGAGGCUCUUUUGGUUAAUACCCAAGAUGAGUGGACGUUACUCGCAGAAUAAGCACCGGCUAACUCUGUGCCAGCCGCCGCCGUAA